rnacentral:rRNA from 1 species
UACGUAGGGGGCAAGCGUUGUCCGGAAUCAUUGGGCGUAAAGAGCGCGUAGGCGGCCCUGUAAGUCCGCUGUGAAAGUCAAGGGCUCAACCCUUGAAUGCCGGUGGAUACUGCAGGGCUAGAGUCCGGAAGAGGCGAGUGGAAUUCCUGGUGUAGCGGUGAAAUGCGCAGAUAUCAGGAGGAACACCGGUGGCGAAGGCGGGUCUCUGGGCCGUAACUGACGCUGAGGAGCGAAACGCGUGGGGAGC